GAAAAAAACAAGGACAACAAUAUUCAGCGCCCUGUCAGAGCAGGAAGCAAAGGAGCUGGCCAAUGGUUUUGCCACUAGACUGGCAUUGGAUGUUACUGCUGACACAGUCUGUGACGGAGUGGAUGCUGCAUGUGCUGAUGAAGACACUUCAGAAAUUACAAAGCAACCUGAAAGCAGCCUUGACGGAAUCAUCAAUUUGGAUCUCCAGCUUUGGAUGCUACUAUGUCUUUUCUUAUUGACAAGCUGGACAGGGUUGGCAAAUGAAAGGCACUAGUUGUCCUUUUAGUUGUGUUUUUUGUUGUAAAGCCACAUUGUUUUUUGUCUUAAAACCCCCAGUUGUGUUUCAGUCUAAUUAAAUGUCAUAUAAUUAGAUGUAA